CAGAAUUCGCCCUUGCCCAUUUGAGGGGGAUACCAGUUGGAAACGACUGUUAAUACCGCAUAAUAUCUGUGGAUUAAAGGUGGCUUUCGGGCUGUCGCAGAUGGAUGAGCCUGCGUUGGAUUAGCUAGUUGGUGGGGUAAGGGCCCACCAAGGCUACGAUCCAUAGCUGAUUUGAGAGGAUGAUCAGCCACAUUGGGACUGAGACACGGCCCAAACUCCUACGGGAGGCAGCAGUGGGGAAUAUUGGACAAUGGGGGCAACCCUGAUCCAGCAAUGCCAUGUGUGUGAAGAAGGCCCUAGGGUUGUAAAGCACUUUAGUUGGGGAGGAAAGCCUCAAGGUUAAUAGCCUUGGGGAGGACGUUACCCAAAGAAUAAGCACCGGCUAACUCCGUGCCAGCAGCCGCGGUAAUACGGGGGGUGCAAGCGUUAAUCGGAAUUACUGGGCGUAAAGGGUCUGUAGGUGGUUUGUUAAGUCAGAUGUGAAAGCCCAGGGCUCAACCUUGGAACUGCAUUUGAUACUGGCAAACUAGAGUACGGUAGAGGAAUGGGGAAUUUCUGGUGUAGCGGUGAAAUGCGUAGAGAUCAGAAGGAACACCAAUGGCGAAGGCAACAUUCUGGACCGAUACUGACACUGAGGGACGAAAGCGUGGGGAUCAAACAGGAUUAGAUACCCUGGUAGUCCACGCUGUAAACGAUGAGUACUAGCUGUUGGAGUCGGUGUAAAGGCUCUAGUGGCGCAGCUAACGCGAUAAGUACUCCGCCUGGGGACUACGGCCGCAAGGCUAAAACUCAAAGGAAUUGACGGGGACCCGCACAAGCGGUGGAGCAUGUGGUUUAAUUCGAUGCAACGCGAAGAACCUUACCUGGUCUUGACAUCCUGCGAACUUUCUAGAGAUAGAUUGGUGCCUUCGGGAACGCAGUGACAGGUGCUGCACGGCUGUCGUCAGCUCGUGUUGUGAAAUGUUGGGUUAAGUCCCGCAACGAGCGCAACCCCUAUUGAUAGUUACCAUCAUUAAGUUGGGUACUCUAUUGAGACUGCCGCUGACAAGGCGGAGGAAGGUGGGGACGACGUCAAGUCAUCAUGGCCCUUACGACCAGGGCUACACACGUGCUACAAUGGGUAUUACAGAGGGCUGCGAAGGUGCGAGCUGGAGCGAAACUC
rnacentral:rRNA from 1 species